AUGGAGGGUCCUCGAGAGGAUCCAGGUGAAAACCCUACUCUUGGCACGUUGCCAAGGUCGGCGAUGGCGGCGUUUUUCCGCGUCGUCCCCUUCUUGAAGGCAUCAUCAUGGAGAAGCUCUAGACCCCCUAUCCGCUACCUCUGGGAGAAAUCCUAUCGGAUGACAGCGGCGCUCAUGUGUCGUACCCCUCUUGAGGGCGUCAUUCUUGGAGGUGUGCAUAGCUUCAAGGGACCAACGGACGACAUCUGCGGUGGAGCGGCGUUCCUUGUGACGCAUCGACGUCGUGGAGUCUCGGCGACGAGGCGCAGCAAAGUCUCGGCGACGAAUGUGUGA
rnacentral:rRNA from 1 species